UUUCUACUCCCUCCGUCCAAAAAUACUUGUCAUCAAAAUGGAUAAAAAGAGAUGUAUCUAAAACUAAAAUACGUCUAGAUACAUUUCCUUUUAUCCAUUUUGAUGACAAGUAUUUCCGGACGGAGGGAGUAUUUG
rfam:Triticum aestivum genome assembly, contig: Triticum_aestivum_CS42_TGACv1_scaffold_424642_5BS